UAGGGAAUCUUCGGCAAUGGGGGGCAACCCUGACCGAGCACCGCCCCGUGAGUGAAGAAGGUUUUCGGACCGUAAAGUCCUUUUGUAAGAGAAGAAGGGGGGUGAGAGUGGAAAGUUCACACAGUGACGUUAACUUACCAGAAAGAACCGGCUAAUUACUUGCCAGCAGCCGCGGUAAUACGUAGGUCCCGAGCGUUGUCCGGUUUUAUUGGGCGUAAAGCGAGCGCAGGCGGUUUAAUAAGUCUGAAGUUAAAGGCAGUGGCUUAACCAUUGUUCGCUUUGGAAACUGUUAAACUUGAGUGCAGAAGGGGAGAGUGGAAUUCCAUGUGUAGCGGUGAAAUGCGUAGAUAUAUGGAGGAACACCGGUGGCGAAAGCGGCUCUCUGGUCUGUAACUGACGCUGAGGCUCGAAAGCGUGGGGAGCAAACAGG
rnacentral:rRNA from 1 species